rnacentral:rRNA from 1 species
GAUGAACGCUGGCGGCGUGCUUAACACAUGCAAGUCGAGCGAAGCACUUAAGAAUGAUUCUUCGGAUGAGCUCUUUUGUGACUGAGCGGCGGACGGGUGAGUAACGCGUGGGUAACCUGCCUCAUACAGGGGGAUAACAGUUAGAAAUGACUGCUAAUACCGCAUAAGCGCACAGUGCCGCAUGGCCCCGUGUGAGAAACUCCGGUGGUAUGGGAUGGACCCGCGUUGGAUUAGGCAGUUGGCGGGGUAACGGCCCACCAAACCGACGAUCCAUAGCCGGCCUGGGAGGGUGGACGGCCACAUUGGGACUGAGACACGGCCCAAACUCCUACGGGAGGCAGCAGUGGGGAAUAUUGCACAAUGGGGGAAACCCUGAUGCAGCGACGCCGCGUGAGUGAAGAAGUAAUUCGUUAUGUAAAGCUCUAUCAGCAGGGAAGAAAAUGACGGUACCUGACUAAGAAGCCCCGGCUAACUACGUGCCAGCCGCCGCCGUAA